rnacentral:tRNA from 1 species
UUUAUUGAAACCAAAAUUGAGGUAAAUUAUUGUUAAUAAUUUAAUUGAAUAAAAUUCCAAUAAAU